rnacentral:lncRNA from 1 species
UAGAGACUGCGGCCGCGCCGCCGUCGACACUGCCGAGACCCUCAGAGGAGUCCUUCGACGAGUAGAGAACAAAGAAGGUUUGGAUUGAGGACAUAAAGAAGAAAACGGGGGCUCCCGGAGAGAAGUGAAAGAAGAAGAGAGAGAAACCAUUGGAUUUGUAUCUGUAGAAAGAAAGAGAGAGAGGAUCUAGAUUGACUCAGAAAUAGAAAUUAAAAGAGAGCACAUACGGCUUGGAGUUCAAGAAGAGGAUGCGUUGGUUUAUAUCGAUGAGGAGGAAGAGGGAUAUAUAGAGAGAGUGAGUUGGCGAAUGCUUUGUACAGAGAGGGUGGCAGGCUACCGUUGGCGGCUUCUGAAGUUGGAAAGGGAGUAAAGCCCACGGAUUCACUUCGUUUGUUUGUUAAGGGAUAGUGAGCGGAGCCCGCGGCUGAGAAAUAUGGCGGUUUUUUGUUUUUUCUUUGACUAAUGGACUGGGGUCGUAUCUUCCGCUCGAAGGAAGGAUUCAAAGCGAUCCGAACUGUGAUCCAAAGGUGGAUUCGCGUGAAGGAAGGUAAGUCCUUCUUUUGCGUGAUGCAUACUACUUGUCAGACCGGAUAACAAAAUGGGAAUUCGAGUAAAUGGGUGGAUGUAGUGGUUUUCCCAAGAAUAAAGAAUGUUUCUAGAAUUCUCUGGCGUGGCUGAUGGGUGGAUUUUCUUUAGUCUUGUUUCUCUGGACGUUCGAGAUUUUUGACGUUGGAAACUUGGUAAAGCUUAUCCUUAUACGCGGAGUUAGGACCGGCAUCUGCAUCCGGUCGAAACGGUCAUCAGUGACGUUCUGCAGCCCGACCCUGACAUCAAUCAGUUUUGAUGUCCGGGUCACGAGUUAACCGAGUCAAACCCCGGGUCUAUCGCCGGUCGUGUCCUCCAAAACCGUUACCAGUGCAAGUCCGAGCCCCUCCAACUUGGCCUCCGCCCUCGCCGCCGUCGCCGAGCCCUCAAGCUCCCUUCCCUCUACUCCUGCUCUGCCCGCCUCUAUUUAUAUAAUGGAUUCUGCUCGAAUAAGAGAUAGGAUUCUAAAAAACUCGGCAACGGAUGCUUCGCCCUCCACUUCCUCACCGUCUUCCGACGGCGACAACAAGAAACGGUGGAAGAAGACAGCCUUCCUACCUUGCUCCCAAACCGUUGUUUCUAGGGACAACGUCGUCAUCGCCGCCGCCGCCGCCGCCUCCGCCUCGUAGGCAGCGCGCAGACCGUGAAGAAGAAGCUCGCGCGCGCUCCUUGAGAGAUCGAGAACGUCACCGAAGUUCUCUCCAAGUCCCCAAGAAAGGUCGACUCGGCCGGACGGGUCGAAUACCGGGU